AGAAGAAAAAAAGAGAAAUCACUUUUUGGGGUACGGGUUGUGUAAGGAGGACACGAGACAGAGAAAGUAGAAUCACGUGCCUUCUGUUUCAUGUUUCUUGUUUGUCCCUCCCUGUCUUUCUCACUAGUGGCCAGAGGUCCUGAGGGGUAGAAAUUCCCACCCGAGAAGCCUGCCUGCUUGCAUCCUGUUCUCCCUCUAUCCUGGACAUGUCAAUGCCUUCAAGUAAGAAUGAAUACGUAAUCUCACUCUCAGCUUUUCCAUACAUCUCUGGACACUUUCCUCUGGAAAUCCCAAAGUGCCACACGAGGUGGAGCUUCCUCCUCCUCAUGCAAUAA
rnacentral:lncRNA from 1 species